rnacentral:rRNA from 1 species
CCCUUAGAUGUUCUGGGCCGCACGCGUGCUACACUGAGUAAUUCAAUGGGUAAGGGAACGCUAGAGCAUUACCUAAUCUUGAAAUUUGCUCGUGAUGGGGAUCGACGGUUGCAAUUUUCCGUCGUGAACGAGGAAUACCUUGUAGGCGCAUGUCAUCAUCAUGCGCCGAAUACGUCCCUGCCCUUUGUACACACCGCCCGUCGCUCCUACCGAUUGAGUGAUCCGGUGAGGCUCUGGGACCUGGACGGAAAGAGCGUUUCGCUUGUUCUGUUUGGGAAACUUGGUCGAACCUUAUCAUUGAGAGGAAGGAGAAGUCGUAAC